UCAGUCGACUCCUACGGGGAGGCAGCAGUGGGGAAUAUUGCACAAUGGGGGAAACCCUGAUGCAGCCAUGCCGCGUGUGUGAAGAAGGCCUUCGGGGUUGUAAAGCACUUUCAGUAGGGAGGAAGGUAGUGUAGUUAACACCUGCAUUAUUUGACGUUACCUACAGAAGAAGCACCGGCUAACUCCGUGCCAGCAGCCGCGGUAAUACGGAGGGUGCGAGCGUUAAUCGGAAUUACUGGGCGUAAAGCGCAUGCAGGCGGCCUGUUAAGUCAGAUGUGAAAGCCCGGGGCUUAACCUCGGAAUUGCAUUUGAAACUGGCAGGCUAGAGUCUUGUAGAGGGGGGUAGGAAUUUCAGGUGUAGCGGUGAAAUGCGUAGAGAUCUGAAGGAAUACCAGUGGCGAAGGCGGCCCCCUCGGACAAAGACUGACGCUCAGAUGCGAAAGCGUGGGGAGCAAACAGGAUUAGAUACCCUGGUAG
rnacentral:rRNA from 1 species